rnacentral:tRNA from 1 species
GGCCCCAUAGCUCAGCUGGAUAGAGCAGCAGAUUUCUAAUCUGCCGGUCGUUGGUUCGAACCCAACUGGGGUCA